GAUUGGAAGUGAAGAGAAUAAACGUGCCUGAUAAGCGUGCAAUAAAUGGGAAUUGUAAUGUGCGUACUUCGCAGUCGUCAUUCCUCUUGAGGAAACAAAGCUAUUCGGAGCUUCUAAUCUUGGAUUAAAAUUGCACAGUUGACUAUUCAAUGUAUAUUAGACUGAGCAUGUUUUUGAGUUUUAGGUUACAUUAGCAUCAUUUUCUUAGUUCAAAAACAAAAUCCAGAUGUCUCACCGAUCGUUUACAUUUUGCGUUAGAUCGCCAAUCAUUAUCUCUUACAAAUAAAAAACAACGUUUUCACUAAUGCUGCUCCAAUGAUGGGCCAACAUGCCACCAUCCUACAAAAAUAAUGCCUACCAAUUUCUUUUUGUAAGAUGUACCAAUGAUUAGUAGGGUAGAAAAUGACUAACGAAUUGGUAACAUUUACGAAAAAAAUCGUCAUAUAUACAAAAUUUUCCUCUCAGUGUAGAAACAUUUCUCACCCUCACACCCCAAAAUGGCCCCCUUUGCUUGAUCAGUCCCUUAGGGAUAUACCGAUAGAUAGAUUUCAAUAGAAAGUUAGCUAGGGUGGCAGCGAAAUGGUCAUGUCAAAUUCAAAAAACCGACCAUGUACAUUUUGUUUAUUGGCCUGUGCAAAAUAUCAGCUCGAUCAGACAUGGGGGUGCCUCAAAGCUCUCAAAGUUUCAGUGCCAAGAUAGUUAGAGUGCCAAUGCCCAAUGCCAAUGAAUUGCAUUGAAACGGUUCACAUUGAGUUAUGUUAUGGCUGUCAUCUGAAUAAACUCGCUCCUCUUUUUGAGAUUGAUAAAAUAUGAUGUAAUUAAAUGAAAUAAUAUGGAAAUAAAGAAAUGUUCGUGCACUAUUAUCUGUAAUACGACUGCGACGCAGAGCUCCCUAGUGUUCAUUUGCGAAAGACAUGAUCGUGGACUUGAUAAUAUCCAGGCACUCAUCCAGCUGUUCUUCGGUGAUCGUGAGUGGAGGUGCAAAUCGAAUAAUAUCACCAUGGGUGGGCUUGGCGAUCAGUCCGUUGUUCUUUAGCCGCAGACAAACGUCCCACGCAUCGUACUUGGAAUCGAUCACAAUGGCGUUCAGCAGACCCUUUCCUCGCACCACCGGUACCAGGUCUUUGGGAAGUUCCGAGAGUGACUCCCGCAGCUUGCGCCCCAUGCGUUCGGCAUUCUCAGCCAGUUUCUCAUCAACCAGAACUUGCAGAGCUGCCAGGGCAACCUUGCAUCCUAGUGGGUUUCCUCCGUAUGUGGAACCAUGCUCUCCUGGUUUGAUGCACAGCAUCACAUCGUCGUUGGCAAGUACUGCCGACACCGGAUACAUACCGCCGGAGAGAGCCUUGCCCAGAAUCAACACAUCUGGCUUAACCUGUUCGUGAUCUACGGCAAGCAUACGACCGGUCCGCGCUAGCCCAGUUUGAACUUCAUCAGCAAUGAACAGCACGUUGUACUUUGUACAUAACUCGCGAACCUUUCUCAGAUAGCCAUCGUCCGGAACCAUGACGCCCGCCUCUCCCUGAAUCGGUUCCACCAUGAAGGCACAAACGUUGGGAUCCUGGAGAGCUUUUUCCAGCGCAACGGUAUCAUUGUACGGAACCAACUCGAAUCCGGGCAUAAACGGACCGAAUCCUUCGAAGCUCGACGGAUCAUUGGAGGCGGAAACAGCAGCCAGAGUGCGGCCCCAGAAAUUGCCCUCGGCAAAAAUGAUUUUCGCCUUGUUGUUCGGUACCUUCUUGACUUUGUAGGCCCACUUGCGUGCGAGCUUGCACGCCGUUUCACCGCCCUCCACACCGGUGUUCAUUGGAAGAACUUUGUCGUAGCCGAACAGUCGCGUGAUGUACUCCUCAUACUCGCCCAAAACGUUCGAGUAGAAUGCCCUAUGGAGAACAACAAAAAAAAACCGUUAUAGUGCGGAACAAAUGAAGCGAUCAGGUUGAGGUUAUCUCACCUAGAUGUUAACGCCAGAAUCUGGGCCUGCUCGGUGAGGGCUUUCACUAUUCGGGGAUGACAGUGACCCUGGUUAACGGCCGAAUAGGCACUGAGGAAAUCGUAGUAACGCUUUCCCUCGACAUCCCACACGUAGACUCCUUCGGCCCGAGCCAGUGCCACCGGAAUGGGGUGGUAGUUGUGGGCCCCAAAUUUAUCCUCCCGGUCGAAUACUGCUUUCGAUGCCGCGCCAGGGCUGCUCUUCAGGACGACAUUCUUCGCGCCGCUGUACAGAUUGUCGGUUUUUGUCACCGUAACGAUUGAGGACAUUUUGGCUAUGAUGGGAGAAGGACAAAAAUGUACGUUAGAACAAAUAAAAUAUAGAUAUUUGGUAUGAU